CUCUGCUUAGUAGGAGCAGAUAAUUGGAAGUGUGGGAACAGGGUGAGCUUUCAGAUCUGUGCGACUCCAUGGCUAAGGGUUACCCCGUCUUCCCAUCUUGCUUUCUGUGCUUCAGUGUCCGUCCUGCGUUUCGCUCCCUCUCCCGGUGGCGUGGCAGUGGCGUGGCGACAAUGCAUGUCUAUCCAGAGAUGCGCUUCCAGAAACUCAAAAGAUUGAAGGAACUACACCUACAUCGUCUCAAAGUAUCUCCCCAAAGACAUCAAUAACAGAGGGACAAAAUUAACUUUGCUGUGUGGACAUCUGGCCAAUGCCCCCUUAAUCAGGCAGUAAGUUGACCCCAUGGAGAGCAGGAAGAGCUGAUGUGCUGAGUCCCUGGGAUGGGACGCACGGAGGACAAGGAUGGAAUUUAUACACCACCACACUGAUCACUUCUAUGGCUUUCCUGCCCAACGCCUUUAGCGUUAAGAAAGUCUCAGACAGACCCAGAAGGAGAAGCGUGCCACAGAGCAGCUCACUGGUCCUUUCAUAAAAAUGCCAAGGAAAACGUCAAGGUUGCAAAAGAGAAGAUAGAGACAAUCUUCUAGUUGUAAAGGACACUGAAGAGGCAUUGAGUGGGGGUGUUUCUUUGGGGUUUUUGUUUUGUUUCGCUAUAAAAGGACAAUUGCUAUUGGGACAGUGGGUGAAAUUUUAAUGUCUGUGGUUUAUGAGGAUGGUCUCCAUGUUACACUGGUGAUAAUCUUAACUGUGCUCACAUUAAAGACCGCCCUCGGUUUUAGGAAGAAUUUAGGGGCGAGGGGGUGUAAAGUUUGCAACUUACUCUGGAACAGUUCAGAAUGUUUGUAUAUAUGUCUGUGCAGAGGAGAGAGGUGGGUGUGGGAUCAGGACAUCCAGUGCAGAAAAUGUAAACGUUGAGAGAAUCUGAGUACUGGGGAACUAUUUGGACAAAUUUCCUUUAAGUCUAAAAUGACAGCAAGAUAAAAAGUUUUAAAAGGAAGAACUUUUUUCCCCCAGAAGCCCCAACAAAUAUCUUUUCUGCUCUCAGUGACCAGAAUAAUUGGGUCUUCAGCGCACUGGCUUGUGGACAGCAUGUUCAGGCUCUCGAAACCUACCUUUGGAAGGAGGAAGGGUGAACUUUCUCAGUCUCUUGCCAUCCCCUCUGGGGCAGGAGUGGAUGAGUAUCCCCACGACACUGGAACACAUACAAGAACUCUGGCUGAAACGUGGCAAAAACCCAGCAGACUCUUCACCAUAGGACCAAGUAAACACGGGAUGGGAACUGCAGUGUGCACUAGGGAAGGGGUCUUCAUGUCCACACUCCAAACUACAAAGAGCCACGUGGGCUCAAGACAGACAAUGGGCUCAGCCACAGAAAUGCAAAGAAAGAGGCAUUUCUUGCACGCAGUUUGGUGGGAGGGCAUGUGGUUGGGUUCUCUUCAUUUACUUUUCCAGAAUGGGUUAAGUAAGAAAGCGAGGGCUGGUGAUGCUCUCUGCUCUGACUCUUCAGCGGUCUCCAGGUAACCACCUCUGGGCUUCCAGCCUACCUGUCCCUCCAUCCCCUCAAGCACCACCCCUCAUCCUUCACAGUCUUUCCCAGCAAAGCCAUUUACAUCUUCCUGUCACUUUCCGCCUCCCUUCUCCUCCAGAGGAGAAAUGACGGAUGCCCGGAAAUGAAGGUGGUAGCAGGCAAGGAUCUUCGUGGUCCCGUGUCUUGCUCUCACUCGACCCCUGUCCCAGGGCUUUUGUUCUAUAAUUGAGAUGAGACAGCUCCCUUCCGCGGGGGUGGGGGAGAGAUGUGGCGAUGGCAUGAAGGUAUAGUGAGCCCCGGGCUCUGCCUGGUAGAGAUGGGGACACCACCACCCCCCCCCCCCGCCGCCUGGCGAGGACCAGGACUUUUAGGAAGCAAAGUGCAGGCAUACAAGCCCCUCCUUGAUUCUGGGGUUCCUUCCUCUGGAAAACUCCCUCAUCCCCGGGGCCAAGAGGGAGAGAAACAAAGACACAGAUCAAUUAAAAACCAGAAACAGUGGGAGAUCACACACACACACACACACACACACACGCAGGUUUUUGUCCACCCCAUAGAUCCUGACUGAGUGCCAGGCGCCGUUCCAGGCACUCUGGCACGGUUUUCCAGCCUCAGGGCUCUGGACAUCUGGAGCUGGACUGUUCUUUGGGGGCAACGUCCCUGACCUCCUCCCCCAGGAGGCCAGAAGCGCUCCCAAGUUGUGAUGCGCCAAGACAUCUUCGGGCGUGGCCACAUGUCCCCAGAGGAGCAGAGCUGCUCUGGGGGAGCACCUCUGCGCUCAUGAGGAUCGGGAGCACCUCUGGGCUCAUGAGGAUCGAGCACCUCUGGGCUCAUGAGGAUCGGGAGCACCUCUGGGCUCAUGAGGAUCGAGAACCCUUGCUGAGCCCGUUCUGGGGAGGGGGAGAUGCCCGGAGAACUAGGAAACACCCGAGCAGGUGCGUCGUGCAGGACGGAAGCAAGGGACGCAGCAAGAGCCCUGAAGGUGCGCAGAGACCAGAGAACCCAGCACUGCAGGGCCAGACAGGAAGGGGCACGGAUGGAAGCGGGGUACGCAGACUUGGGCUGGGUCCCGAAGAGGAGGCGCAGAAAGGCAGGAGGAAGGGCAACUGGUGCAUCUCAGAGCUAAGCACCUGCAGGGGAAACGGAGGUGAAACAGAGAAACCUUUCCCCUCCGGCAGCGUCCUCGUCCUGACCCCACAGGCCAGCUCACGAAAGCCCUUCCGUGCACAAAGUCUCAGGAGCACCUCCACCCUUGGCACGCUCUCCCAUCGCCCCCCUGAUUGCGCACACCCUCCCUCCCUCCGCGCUUCCUGCCUCGCCUCCUUCCUCCUCGGGAGGCAUAAAAGCCACAGUCAGGCACUGGGCCUCCAGAAAGCCCAGGAAAGCAGCGGACUCCAGUGAGCAUCCCGUAGCAACCAGCGCCUACCCUGCCGGCCCUCCGAUGGCUCCCCCUGUCCGUCUGGUCCUGCUUCUUGCCAUCCUGCUCAGCCUAGUGGAGACUCCCACCUCUGUGCCUGUCCGCCAGGGACGAGGAGGCUGGACCCUCAACAGCGUGGGCUACCUGCUGGGUCCCGGUGAGUGUGCCCGCUCCCAGUGCCAAUGACUCCCCCUGCGGCACAGGGAGGUCAGAACAACUCCUGGUGGAGGGGGACCAGGUGACACUCAGCCGUCACUUCCUCCUCUUCUGGGCCCCUCUGUCCAGGGCUCCCCGUUUCCCCGAAGGCGUUUUCACUGUGUGCUACCAAGGGACCAUUAAAGCCCUACAUCCCCGUGAUGCUCAGGGUGGGGACCACUGAUGGUCCAAGGAAACCCAGGCCCCGGGGACCACGUGGCCAAGCAACGAGGACCUGGGGUUCAUGCCCAGACAUAGGCGGGUUCGGCUUAGCAGUGGGUGAUGCUGGGAGACAGAUGCGAAUCUCAGAGCCACAGCCUUCUCACCGGCCAGCUCGGAAGGCUGGCGGUCCUGCAGGUCUGGCAGCCAUGCUCCGUGAGGGGAACAGUGUGUGCGGGUUGCUGGAUUCCCUGUGUUACUGCUGUCAUGUCCCAGACCAUAGGCCCAGCUCUUCCCUCCCUUCCCCUGCCCGGUGCUCCACCUUCCCCAGAGCGCGGACCGCGGCAGGAAGGAGAAGACAGCCCUGGAGGUCCUAGACUUGUGGAAGGCCCUUGAUGGGCUCCCCCAUCCCCGCCCUCGGCGGGCCUCCAAGAGGAGCCUGAGGGAGAACUCUGCCAAACCAGAGACUGCAGAUCUGGGCCAGUUCAGCGAGAAAGCCCCCAGGGAGGGCGAUGCCCAGCGGUCCUAGAGAUCUCCAGACCUCUGCUCCGUGUCCUUCUGUCCAGCUCCUCGUGAACCCCUCCCUGUCUCGCUUCCUCCACUGAGACUAAGAUCCUGAAAUUAAGUCCCUGAGUCUCAUGCAGGAAAUUUGGGGAGCGUUGGGAGACUUCUUAAAAGUCACCAGACCGUGGCAGGUUUCACUGAUUUAUCCUUGAAUAAGUAGAAAGUGUUGUUAACAAACCCAAGAAUGAAAUCUGGGGCCAUUUAGGAGAGUUGGGAUAACGAGGGAAUAUUUCUGCCAUUUGUGCGAAGUAACUGCCUUCUUUCAGAACCAUAACACGAGCAGACUAAUAUGGUAUGAAUGUCCCAUUGCAUCUAAGCCUCUACAAUGUCUGCUCAGAAAGAUUCUGCCAAGUAGCGGGCUUGCCUUCCCUCGUUCCCCCACCCCCGCUGGGCAUCCUCCAGCUCGAAAGGGGGAGGGGUACCCUGGAGCAGAGUGGAGAGAAUAAAACAUUUCUUUGCAAA